UCUUUAAUUAAUCCUGGAUCCGCGCCACUGGCUGCCGACGUUUCUUCCACGCCGUCGCUGCCGAGUUCCCAUCUUCCCCCUCAGGUACGAGUUCCCAUCUUCCACGCCGCCGAGUACUCUUUGGAAAUGGAGGCGCCAGCAGGUGGACUCGGCAGCAGGUGGCCUCCACGCUGCCGAGUUCCCAUCUUCCCUCACGCGGAUGGAGGCGCCUCCAGCAGGCACCAAUGCAGUUGAAGCUCCUUCUGAAGUGUAGAGAUUAAAUAGAGUUUGGAAUGGUCUUUUAGACGUCAUUAGACACAUGCAAGUCUCAGCUGAUGAGUUGAGGAGGUUGACCAGACGCAAUCAUGUACCUGAGUAUGUAGAGUACCUGCACAAAAAUAGCCUAGUUAAUGCCAUGAGUGUUGUCACUGAAAUUGCACAAGGUCUAGACCAUGUGAGCACAGAUCUGGAGGAAGUUCUUAUUGGUCUGUAACCUCUUCUUGAAGAUUAUGAAGCCCUUGGUUUGUACAAUGAUCGUCGUCUACCGCAUAUGAACGAGCGUAUAUGAGAUAUUUGUUUGCGAGAGAGUCUGUACCACUAAUGCAUGUAUCUUAUGAAUUGUACUGCCUUUCUGUCAAGUCUGUAUCUUAUGAAGCCUUAGUUAGUUGCCAUUUUGUUCCUGCUACUUGUAUGAAUUGAGUUAUGAAAAUGAAGAGUUGUGUUAUGAGUUGUUUUUUGUGAUCA